GACGAACGCUGGCGGCGUGCCUAAUACAUGCAAGUCGAGCGCAGGAAAUCGACGGAACCCUUCGGGGGGAAGUCGACGGAAUGAGCGGCGGACGGGUGAGUAACACGUAAAGAACCUGCCCUCAGGUCUGGGAUAACCACGAGAGAUCGGGGCUAAUACCGGAUGGGUCAUUGGACCGCAUGGUCCGAGGAUGAAAGGCGCUUCGGCGUCGCCUGGGGAUGGCUUUGCGGUGCAUUAGCUUGUUGGUGGGGGAAUGGCCCACCAAGGCGACGAUGCAUAGCCGACCUGAGAGGGUGAUCGGCCACACUGGGACUGAGACACGGCCCAGACUCCUACGGGAGGCAGCAGUAGGGAAUCUUCCACAAUGGACGAAAGUCUGAUGGAGCAACGCCGCGUGAACGAUGAAGGCCUUCGGGUCGUAAAGUUCUGUUGUAAGGGAAGAACAAGUGCCGCAGGCAAUGGCGGCACCUUGACGGUACCUUGCGAGAAAGCCACGGCUGACUACGGGCCAGCAGCCGCCGUAA
rnacentral:rRNA from 1 species